UCCGGUUUGACACCGGCAGUCUCGCUAGAGUCCUUCCCGACGCAUCGGGAUUAGCAACUAGAGAUAGGGGUUUCGCUCGUUAAGGGACUUAACCCGACACUUCACAGCACGAGCUGACGACAGCCAUGCAGCACCUGUGUAUGUUGUACCCGUGAGGGCCUCAUCCCUGUUUCCAGGGACUAAUCCAUACAUGUCAAGCCCAGGAUAAGGUUCUUCGCGUUGCUUCGAAUUGAGCCACAUGCUCCACCGCUUGUGUGAGCCCCCGUCAAUUCCUUUGAGUUUUAGCCUUGCGACCGUACUCCCCAGGCGGUGCACUUAGCAAUUUUUCUUCGACCACGAUGGCGUCAGAGCCUCCGCGAUCUAGUGCACAUCGUUUAGGGCGUGGACUAC
rnacentral:misc_RNA from 1 species